rnacentral:rRNA from 1 species
AGAGUUUGAUCCUGGCUCAGAACGAACGCUGGCGGCGUGGAUAAGACAUGCAAGUCGAACGAUGACUUGAGAGUAGCAAUAUUUUCAAGUCGUAGUGGCGAAAGGGUGCGUAACACGUGGGUAAUCUGCCGUAAAGUUGGGAAUAACUCGCCGAAAGGCGAGCUAAUGCCGAAUGUGGCUUCGUCCGGGCAUCCGGAUGCAGCUAAAGCUGGGUCGUAAGACCUGGCGCUAUACGACGAGCCCGCGGCCUAUCAGCUAGUUGGUGAGGUAACGGCUCACCAAGGCUAAGACGGGUAGCUGGUCUGAGAGGACGACCAGCCACACUGGAACUGAGAAACGGUCCAGACACCUACGGGUGGCAGCAGUCGAGAAUUUUUCUCAAUGGGCGAAAGCCUGAAGGAGCGACGCCGCGUGGGGGAUGAAGGGCUUCGGCCUGUAAACCCCUGUCAUUUGCGAACAAGGUCGGCAGUUUAAGAGACAG